UGUUGAGCUUGACUCUAGUCCGAYUUUGUGAAAUGACUUSAGAGGUGUAGGAUAACUGGAAGCCCUYGAGCAGAAGUGAAAUACCACUACUUUUAAUGUUAUUUUACUUAUUCUGUUAGUCAGAGGCGGGGCGAUGCCCCUCCUUUUGGACCCAAGGCUCGCCUCGUUGGGCCGAUUUGGGUGGAAGACAUUGUCAGGUGGRGARUUUGACUGGRGUGGUACAUCUCUUAAAAGACAAUGCACAAGUGUCCUAAAAUGAACUCAACGAGAAUAGAAAUCUCAUAUARAACAAAAUAGUAAAAACUCGUCUGAUGUCUAUUGAUUAAGUUGGUUGAGAGAAUUUUAAUGCCAACUGUUUACUAGGCACCGGAAGAGAAUCAUGGAAAUCUUCGCUACUUAGUAAACUAAGUUUUAACA
rnacentral:ncRNA from 1 species